GUUGAAACACUGGCUCCCGUACGAUUCUCCGAAGUUAAGCUACGUCAAGCUUGGUCAUUACCGAGAUGGGUGACCGCAUGGGUAAUACCAGGUACUGUAA